GAUGAAGAACGCAGCGAAAUGCGAUAAGUAAUGUGAAUUGCAGAAUUCAGUGAAUCAUCGAAUCUUUGAACGCACAUUGCUCCCGCCAGUAUUCUGGCGGGCAUGCCUGUUCGAGCGUCAUUUCAACCCUCAAGACCCCUUCGGGGGACUUGGUGUUGGGGACCGGCACAGGGGCCUGCCUGCUUGUCUUGCAGCGCCCUCGCCGCCCCCGAAAUGAAUUGGCGGCCUCGUCGCGGCCUCCCCUGCGUAGUAGCACAAACCUCGCAACGGGAACGUGACGGCGGCCACUGCCGUAAAACAACCCAAUUUUAUUAGAGUUGACCUCGAAUCAGGUAGGAAUACCCGCUGAACUUAAGCAUAUCAAUAAGCGGAGGA
rnacentral:misc_RNA from 1 species